GAGUUUGAUCUUGGCUCAGAUUGAACGCUGGCGGCAUGCCUUACACAUGCAAGUCGAACGGCAGCACGGGAGCUUGCUCCUGGUGGCGAGUGGCGAACGGGUGAGUAAUGCAUCGGAACGUAUCCUGGAGUGGGGGAUAACGUAGCGAAAGUUACGCUAAUACCGCAUAUUCUGUGAGCAGGAAAGCGGGGGACCUUCGGGCCUCGCGCUCUUGGAGCGGCCGAUGUCGGAUUAGCUAGUUGGUGAGGUAAAGGCUCACCAAGGCGACGAUCCGUAGCAGGUCUGAGAGGAUGAUCUGCCACACUGGAACUGAGACACGGUCCAGACUCCUACGGGAGGCAGCAGUGGGAAUUUUGGACGAUGGGGGCAACCCUGAUCCAGCCAUGCCGCGUGAGUGAAGAAGGCC
rnacentral:rRNA from 1 species